rnacentral:rRNA from 1 species
UACGUAGGAUGCAAGCGUUGUCCGGAAUUAUUGGGCGUAAAGCGAACGUAGGCGGUUCUUAAGAUUGGUCUUAAAGACCGGGGCUCAACCCCGGGAAUGGAUCGAUAACUGGGAGACUGGAGGACGUCAGAGGAAGUGGAAUUCCGCGGUGUAGCAGUGAAAUGCGUAGAUAUGCGGAGGAACACCGAUGGCGAAGGACAAUCCCUGGACCUGUAC